rnacentral:lncRNA from 1 species
GUGAGACCGGACGAACAACAAAGAACAACUCAGACCAGCUCGGAAAGCAAAGGACUUUUCGCCAACACACACAGAUGACUCAGUCGCAUAUUUGCCACGCCCCUGUUGCCAUGACAACCUCACCGGAGUCUGGGCGGGACUUUGGGCGCAGAACCAGCCUCCCCAGGAGGCCCCCAGCCCGCGUUUGCGCGUGCGCUCGCGAGCUGUCGUUACGUAGAGGCGGAAGCAGAACGCACGCCGGGCGCCUCAGCUCGCGUCUGGAUCCGUUGGAGCUUUAGAGUCCGAGGACUUCAAGAGGCACAAGAAGCUGGGCUGGGAAAGGAAUCUGAGAUCCAGAAAGGCAAGCGACACACCCCAGGGGCUGAACUGGAGCUUGGCAGAACAUGGAGGGAGAGGGGUCCUCCCUGGGUGACCCCAUGGAAAGCCCUAGCGGGGGUGAGGAUGGUGCCCAAUCUAUUAUGUCCACCAGGCCCCGAACACCGUCCAGGCUAUAAACAUGGUAGAGCACAGUGUUGGAUUUAGGGGUCGAGAGGUCCACGACUUUCAACACCGUACUUUGCGGGCAAGUUCUUCAGCCCACAUGGCAUCCCCUCUGUGGUCAAGUCGGCUCCCCAACUUCCUGUGUAUAUGAUAUCAGUCCCUCACGUAUCCAGUUUAUCUGAAAAUAUUAAAUGGAAAGUGCCAGGAAUAAUUCGUAAGUUUCAACUAAUUUUGAUUUGGUAUAUUAUUAUAAUUGUUGUAUUUUAUUAGAUGUUGUGAAUCUUACUGUGGCAAAUUCAUCAAGUAAAUGUCAUCUUUUUUUUUUUUUUUUUUUU